GCUCAGGACAUCAGCCUAGAUCUCCCAAGUUUCUACCCUGUGCAGAUUUGCUGUGGGAUACUGGGAGACUCCAGGUACAAGCAACUCAGAAGGGCUACCUGUAUUGUUGCUGUUUGGACUCUGGAAGGGGAGUGUUGAGAAACAAGACAACUUUCAGCAAUGGCAUCCUUUUUCUUUACCUUCCUUUUUUUGGUACUCCUGGUCACUCCAGGACUUACCACUGACAUCCGGAGGGCCAGGACUUGUAUAGAGGCAAGUGGGAAAUGCAGGCUUGCAAAGUGUUCUCACGAUCCAUGGCAGCGCAUUGGAAAAUGCGGAGAUAAAAGGUCUUGCUGUAUAAAGAAACCAGCUACGUAGUCGUCUUAUCGGUCUUCUGAAUGGAAUCUUGGGUAUGGAUCAAGAUGCUGGAAGUUUCUCUAUUGUCUGCUUAAACACCAGGCUGCUUCAACAAACUUUGGGCCUCUUAGCAAAUAUUAGCAGUGCUUGAAAAUGUGGAAAGAAACCUUUGAGUUGUUUUUUUUCUCCAAAUCUUGUUCUAUCCUCUGAAUAAAAUAACACUGCUGUGCAACUUGUGUGUGGCUGUGUGAUGUUUACGUGUGGAUGUAGGCUGAUGGAGAGAGCUGGGGGGAUUCCACACGUCGUACUGAGGGCGCUUCCAUGCACCCCCAGUGUGCCCCCAAAGUGAUCGUGUAGCUUGCUUGG